UAUUUAGCCCUCCUCGCUUAACAAAUACUAAUAAAUAAUAGUAACUAGAACAAGUAUAAAAUAAUCACAACAAAACACUUCGUCGGACUACUUGUAAAAAAUGGCCAAGUAAAAUAAAGCAGAUUUUUAACUAGCACUAUAACGAUGUGAUAUCAUAAAGAAAUUCUAAAUUAAUCGAAUUAAAGUACACUUAUUUACUUCAAUAACUAAUUUACUUGGCGAGAAAUUAUAUACUUAACACGACGCGGCACACGAACAAAUUGUGAACAAUAAGCAUUAGACGUUCAGUAUGAUUUAAAGUAUUUUAAUAAACAUUUGUACUCGAAAAUAAUUUCUCGCCAAGCAAAUAAAUUAUCCAAACAAAAUAAGUGCACUUUCAAAUUCGAUUUACUUAGAACUCGUUAAUUAAGAUAUAAAAAUGUGUUGGGUAUAUGUUAUUAUCAGCGACGACGGGGAAGGCGAGCGGAGAACUAGCGGACGUGCACCGUACCGUCAUUAGCUCACCUUAUCGGCAUUGAGUGCGGUAUUGCUCCGCGCGUAACCACUAACCACCACCGAGGUGCUGCGUCUCAAGUUGAAGAGACGUCAGUAGCGCUUAUCACAGGACAUCGCCGCCGCAGUCGAAAACAUCGCCAAUAUCUGUUUUCCGUGACGAACGAAAACACAGAAAAAACGAAACGAACAGUGCGCGUACAGUGUUGUUUUUCCUCCCUUUUACACAUUUGUGAAAAUCCGAUAUUCGCGUGUGCCGCGAGCCAUUCGUCGCCGUCACCUGUAGCUGUCUACCGCUGUGGAAUUAAGACCGUUUGUCGUGCCGCCGAUGCUCAUCACUUCCUGGACCCAACCAACGGCCAUUCCACCUUCCGGAUCGUCUUCGGGUCAGAGCUAUUCAAAGCCAAUCAACCACAAAACCCUGAUAAUCCAUCUACAAUAGCCCAGGAACGAAUUAUAAGAGAAGCAGUAGAGAACUUAGAAGGAACCCCGGCAAUACCAGACUGAGCGCUUCGCGGCGUCCCUCCGCCGGCAAUGCCUAUACCUGAAAGAGUGAUCCAAAGGGAUAGGUUCAUGAAUAUUUUAAGGCACAGGAAUGACAACGAUCAAAAUAUUCGAAAUAAUCGACGACGGCGGCCAUAGUAGACCAACAAUUAUUAUUAUUAUUA